rnacentral:rRNA from 1 species
CCCUUGCCUAGGGAUCUGCCCAGUCGAGGGGGAUACCAGUUGGAAACGACUGCUAAUACCGCAUACGCCCUGAGGGGGAAAGGUGGGGAUCUUCGGACCUACCGCGAUUGGAUGAACCUAG